UAACAAUCAAAAUUCCAGUAGUACACUACUACUACUACAACCAGCCUCACUAGUAGUAGGUGAGUUUCUCCUACUAUACGUGUGUGUGUGUUUGCCCUCCUAGCUCAGUGUGUGCAGCUGCAAAUUGUUUUUGCCAAUUCUAUUAGUGUACGAGAGAGAGCUAGUCAGUAUAGUUUGGGCUAACAAGCACGGCAGCGACUUGGAGGUGCGCGAACUCGGUGCUGACCGCAAGGACCCCAUCUUCGGGGACAUCGCUGUGCAUCAAUCACUACGAAAGCGACAUCGGAGAGACAAGAGUCAUCUGUUCGGCAUGGCGGAAACUUGAUUGAGCUCGGGAAAAUCUAUAUCUAUCUGUCUAUAUCUAUAUCUAUUAUUUAUUUUUAUCAUUUAUCUUUCUAAUAUAAAGAGGCUAUUGCUUCUUCCUCCAAA